rnacentral:rRNA from 1 species
UACGUAGGGGGCGAGCGUUGUCCGGAUUUAUUGGGCGUAAAGAGCUCGUAGGCGGCUUGGUCGCGUCGACAUGUGAAACCCGCGGCUCAACUGGCGGGCCUGCGAGCCGAUAGCGGGCAGGCUAGAGGUUCGGUGAGGGGAGACUGGAAUUCCUGGUGUAGCGGUAGAAAUGCGCAGAUAAUCAGGAGGAACACCGGUGGCGAAGGCGGUCUCUGGGCCGAUGACUGACGCUGAGGAGCGAAGACGUGGGGAGCGAACAGG